rnacentral:rRNA from 1 species
UACAGGGGGGUGCAAACGUUGCUCGGAAUUAUUGGGCGUAAAGCGCGCGUAGGCGGCCGCUUAAGUCGGAUGUGAAAAGCCCCCUGGCUCAACUGGGGGAAGUGCACCCGAAACUGAGUGGCUUGAGUACUAAAAGAGGGUCGCGGAAUUCCCGGUGUAGAGGUGAAAUUCGUAGAUAUCGGGAGGAACACCGGUGGCGAAGGCGGCGACCUGGGUAGAUACUGACGCUGAGGCGCGAAAGCGUGGGGAGCAAACAGGG